rnacentral:sRNA from 1 species
UGUCCAGUACAACUCACCCUUUUACAUCUGACCAAACAUCAUUUGAUUCAAACGCAUGGUUUCUGGGGGCAGGCAUACUUGCUGUUGUGGUAUCCUUUAUUUCUCUGUUUGUAGUACUUGGAGUGACAGUUUUUGGAAAAAGCAAAUUAGUAUGCAGGAAAGGACUGAAAAAUCCUAGGCAGAUGAAAAUCAAACCAAUCGAUGGAGGCAGUCUCAACGCAUAACAAACACAACUUAGGAGUCAACUGUAGAGAGGAAACCAUGUUGUUUUCAACACUUAAAUAACCCAAGAAGUAACAAGUGACAAAUACUAAGAUCAUGAAAAAGUUAAUUGAUUUGUAUUAGCAAGCAGUUUUAUAGUUUGUUGAGCUGGUAGAAGGGAAAUACUUUCUUUGUGGAUUUCAUUGAGAUUGAAAUCAAUGGAUUAAAGAGAACAGUUCAUUUGAUUAGGACAAGAUAACUUUGUGGUCUGUACAUUAAGAACAAUAAAAUAGUCAGCAGUAUGUUUCUAAAUGUAUUUUUAUCAAAUAAAAAAAAAAGCAACCAAUUUACAAUUGAAAGAUUACAUCUUACUAACAUAGGGUAAAUUCAAAACAGUAGUGCCACAUUUUGAUUUUUUAAAAAUAUGUUACAAAAUUUAUUUUUUUAAAUAAUGAAGCUAAAAAUUAUUUUUUUUACUAAGAUACAGAUGAAAGAUCAAGACUAUAUUACAACUGUUUAAAAAAAGUAUUUUAAAUGAAAUACAAAGUAAAUUUAAAGAAUAAACAAAAAUGUUCAAAU